GGUCGGUCGCGGACGGACCGCUCGCCAACCCGGUCAGGUCCGGAAGGAAGCAGCCGUAACGAACCCGGUCCGGGUCGUUGGCCGGCCUCU
rnacentral:SRP_RNA from 1 species